rnacentral:rRNA from 1 species
UACAGGGGGUGCAAACGUUGCUCGGAAUCAUUGGGCGUAAAGCGCACGUAGGCGGUUCGUUAUGUCGGAUGUGAAAGCCCUUGGCUUAACCGAGGAAGUGCAUCCGAAACUGGCGAGCUAGAGUACUAAAGAGGAUCGCGGAAUUCCCGGUGUAGAGGUGAAAUUCGUAGAUAUCGGGAGGAACACCGGUGGCGAAGGCGGCUCUCUGGACCGUAACUGACGCUGAGGCGCGAAAGCCAGGGGAGCAAACGGG